rnacentral:rRNA from 1 species
CAGCAGCCGCGGUAAUACGUAGGUGGCAAGCGUUGUCCGGAAUUAUUGGGCGUAAAGGGCUCGCAGGCGGUUUCUUAAGUCUGAUGUGAAAGCCCCCGGCUCAACCGGGGAGGGUCAUUGGAAACUGGGAAACUUGAGUGCAGAAGAGGAGAGUGGAAUUCCACGUGUAGCGGUGAAAUGCGUAGAGAUGUGGAGGAACACCAGUGGCGAAGGCGACUCUCUGGUCUGUAACUGACGCUGAGGAGCGAAAGCGUGGGGAGCGAACAGGAUUAGAUACCCCGUAGUCCCUGUCUCUUAUACA